UGAUAAUGGAUCAAGGUAAUAUCACUUUCUUAUUGCUUUCUUCAUAACUGAUAAAUUAGUGGCUUGUUCUGAUAAUCGUUCAUAUCCACUGCUCCUCUCUGUGUUCUAUGUUAGGUGCAUGGAAUGUGAUGGAUAAGGAACCAAGUGAAAAAUGCACCUCCCCCCAAGCACUCUUACCUCUAAAAUGGAUGCUUGCAAACUUUUAAUCUUUUGAACUUAGGCAGUGUUCGCAUUAAGACAUCUGGGAUGAUCUUUCAUUGAAUAAGAAUUUGGUAUUUGUACCUGUGUUGAGAAUCCCAACUGCAAUUUUGAUUUCUUGCUGUUUCGUGUAAUGUUCUAGUGUACUUUAGAAACUGAAUCAUCGAUUUUGUUUUGAUAUGGAAUUUAAAUGAGUUCAAUAUUAUUGCUUUUUGGGAUUUAAAUAAACUCUGAUUUCAAGUGCCUAGAUUACAGUUGAUCGCUGUUAUUUUUUAAAAUUUUGCUCCAAGUCAAGCUUCUAAUAUUCAUUUUUAACCACCACUGCCACUAACACCCCCAAACCCUCAAAACCAAAAGAAAUGGAAACAAACUCACUUAGUUUCAUCCAAUUUCAGCAUGUUUUUCAAAAUCCUUAUUUAUUGUUUAAUCUUGUUUGGCAGCUGGUCCCAGCUCUUGGAGACCCUUCCUCUUCCAAAU
rnacentral:misc_RNA from 1 species